GGGGAUGUAUUUGGUUUCGACAAAUAUCCAGAAGUAUGAAUAGCGAGUAGUGGAUGUUCGCUUCGGCCACUAUAAAAAAGCGAAAAUAAAUAUAAACGCUGAUAAUAGAGAAUUAGCAUACGCUGCUUAAGAAAUAAGUAGCGACGUCUUACUUUAAAUGCCCACGUUUUUAGAUAAGGCGACGAUUAGUGGGAAACGAAGCUGUUUUUUGCCAUAAAAGCAGUAGGUAUUUUUAAUGGCUACUUUAAAAUAAAAUUUGUUUAUUAAUUUGUUUUAAAGGAAUUUUAUUAAUAAACUACACUCGUAGAAGUUUGUAUGGAAAGAUAUUUGGACAGGAGUUCGACUCUCCUCAUCUCCACCA
rnacentral:tmRNA from 1 species